rfam:Egretta garzetta contig23425, whole genome shotgun sequence.
GCUGGCAUAAUGAUGAUUACUGCUCUUUGCCGUUUACCCAGCUGAAUUCUGUGAUGAGCAAGGUUGUACCUGAUGUGCCAGC